AAAGGAGAAAGAUGCAGGGAUCCGGAAUGCUGUGUUGUAUGUCCUAUUAGGGGAUCCUGUUGUUUCCCCUAGCAAAAUGGGUCUCCCCAGGCAUCCAGAAGAGAAUUUAAAAUAGUGAGAAUUUAAUGGUAUACAUAUAUCAGCUCAAGCUUGAUGCUUACAAGGAAGUACACUGCUCAAGACUUUCCUUAAGUUCUUGUAUCCAUGCAAUCUUUGUUUCAUCCGCUACACUUCAAUCAGUUCUUGACACAUAUAUGUUAUGUUCCUUCAGAUUGGCAGUUCUUUGUUGUGGGGAAGGAUGAUUUCUGUUAUCUCCCAGGUAUGGAUCACAUCUGGCACUGUCCUUGGUCAACAUAGCCCACCACCCAUGCCACCCAGACCUGAACACAAUGCUACUCAAUGUGACUCAAUCGCUACUACGUAUCAGGCAUCGGAAAACUGCACCCUCACAGCUAUUUUUUAAUGAAUUAGCCUCUAAUUCACUGACCUCUUAAUGUCAAUAAACAAGUUAAGCCUGCACA
rnacentral:lncRNA from 1 species